rnacentral:tRNA from 1 species
UUCCCUGUAGCUCAGUUGGUAGAGCAUGGUGUUUGCAACGCCAGGGUUUUGGGUUCAAUUCCCACGGGGGGC